AAGCAUUUAUAAAUGAAAUAUUUGCAUUUAUCUCAUGGGGGCCUGGUGUGCAAUGGCUGCAAACAGCAGCCACCUUGGUAGUGUGUGCAGCCUGUUGCUUGUUUGGAUUGCUCUAAGGAACCUUGGAGACAUUC